rnacentral:rRNA from 1 species
CAAUAGCGUAUAUUUAAGUUGUUGCAGUUAAAAAGCUCGUAGUUGGAUUUCGGAUGGGCUUGACCGGUCCGCCGUUUGGUGUGCACUGGUCGUGCCUAUCUUGCUGCCGGGGACGCGCUCCUGGCCUUAAUUGGCUGGGACGCGGAGUCGGCGAUGUUACUUUGAAAAAAUUAGAGUGUUCAAAGCAGGCCUAAGCUCUGAAUACAUUAGCAUGGAAUAACGCUAUAGGACUCUGGUCUUAUUGCGUUGGUCUUCGAGACCGGAGUAAUGAUUAAGAGGGACAGUUGGGGGCAUUCGUAUUUCAUUGUCAGAGGUGAAAUUCUUGGAUUUCUGGAAGACGAACUACUGCGAAAGCAUUUACCAAGGAUGUUUNCAUUAA